rnacentral:rRNA from 1 species
CCUACGGGGGGCAGCAGUGGGGAAUCUUGGACAAUGGGGGGAACCCUGAUCCAGCGAUGCCGCGUGGGUGAAGAAGGCCUUCGGGUUGUAAAGCCCUUUAGGUUGGGAAGAAGUGCAUGAGGGGAUAAUAUUCAUGCAUUGACGGUACUGACAGAAUAAGCACCGGCAAACUCUGUGCCAGCAGCCGCGGUAAUACAGAGGGUGCGAGCGUUAAUCGGAAUUACUGGGCGUAAAGGGCGCGUAGGCGGUUUUAUGUGUGUGAUGUGAAAGCCCUGGGCUUAACCUAGGAAGGGCAUCGCAAACUAUAGGACUGGAGUAUGAGAGAGGGUGGUGGAAUUUCCGGUGUAGCGGUGAAAUGCGUAGAGAUCGGAAGGAACGUCAAUGGCGAAGGCAGCCACCUGGCUUAAUACUGACGCUGAGGCGCGAAAGCGUGGGGAGC